rnacentral:rRNA from 1 species
GGGGCUUCACCGCCUACCAAAUCCUGACAAACUCCGAAUGCCAGUAGUAUGAUUUACAGCAGUGAGUGACUGGGUGCUAAUGUCCAGUCGCAAAAGAGGAACAACUCAGACCAGCAACUAAGGUCCCGAAGAAUAUGCUAAGUUGAUCUAACGAUGUUUUGUUGCAGAGACAGCUAGGAUGUUAGCUUGGAAGCAGCUAUUCAUUCAAAGAGUGCGUAACAGCUCACUAGUCGAGCGACAGAGCGUGGAUAAUAAACGGGCAUCAAGCAUAUCACCGAAGUUCUGGGCGCGAGAGCGCGGUAGGGGAGCAUUCCAUUCAGCGUCGAAGCAGUUUCGUGAGGAAUUGUGGAGCGUAUGGAAAAGCAAAUGUAGGCAUGAGUAACGAUAAUGCGGGAGAGUAACCCGCACACCGCAAGACCAAGGUUUCCUGAUCAACGCUAAUCGGAUCAGGGUUAGUCGGGUCCUAAGGGUAAGCCGAACGGCGAUCUCGAUGGAUAAUCGGUUAAUAUUCCGAUACUAACAUAUACCUCGAUGGAGAGACGAAGGAACGUAAGUGCCGCCACCUGACGGAAUAGGUGGUUAAAGGGCGUAGGUAUAGGGGCAGAUUAAGAGUUAGUCCUUGCUGAAACCUGACAGUACAGAGAGCCUACGGGCAAUUUGAUAGAGCACCCAAGUCGACUUCCGAGAAAAUCUUCUAAGUUAUAGUAUAUGUUACCCGUACCGUAAACCGACACAGGUGGUCGAGGAGAGUAUCCUAAGGUGCUCGAGUGAAUCACGGUUAAGGAACUAGGCAAAUUAACCCCGUAACUUCGGGAAAAGGGGUCCCUAUGAAAGUAGGGCGCAGCGAAGAGGUCCAGGCGACUGUUUAUCAAAAACACAGGGCUCUGCAAAUUCGAAAGAAGACGUAUAGGGCCUGACACCUGCCCGGUGCUGGAAGGUUAAGAGGGGAUGUCAUCGCAAGAGAAGCAUUGAAUCGAAGCCCCAGUAAACGGCGGCCGUAACUAUAACGGUCCUAAGGUAGCGAAAUUCCUUGUCGGGUAAGUUCCGACCUGCACGAAUGGUGUAACGAUCUGGACACUGUCUCAACCGUGAGCUCGGUGAAAUUGUAGUCCCGGUGAUGAUGCCGGGUACCCGCAACGGGACGAAAAGACCCCGUGAACCUUUACUAUAGCUUAACGCUGAAUUUGGGUACACAAUGUGUAGGAUAGGCCGGAGGCUUUGAAGCGGGCACGCCAGUGUUCGUGGAGCCGACGUUGAAAUACGGCCCUUUGUGUAUUUGAGUUCUAACCCUGCGAAGGGGACACCGUUUGGUGGGUAGUUUGACUGGGGUGGUCGCCUCCAAAAGCGUAACGGAGGCUUCCCAAGGUACCCUCAGCACGAAUGGUAACCGUGCGCGGAGUGCAAUAGCAUAAGGGUGCUUGACUGUGAGACAUACAAGUCGACCAGGUACGAAAGUAGGGUAUAGUGAUCCGGUGGUUCUGCGUGGACUGGCCAUCGCUCAAAGGAUAAAAGGUACUCCGGGGAUAACAGGCUGAUCGCCGCCAAGAGCUCAUAUCGACGCGGCGGUUUGGCACCUCGAUGUCGGCUCGUCACAUCCUGGGGCUGGAGAAGGUCCCAAGGGUUCGGCUGUUCGCCGAUUAAAGUGGCACGCGAGCUGGGUUCAGAACGUCGUGAGACAGUUCGGUCUCUAUCUGUUGCGGGCGUAGGAAGAUUGAGGGGUCCUGACUUUAGUACGAGAGGACCGAGUUGGACGAACCUCCGGUGUAUCGGUUAUGCUGCCAAGUGUACUGCCGAGUAGCCGCGUUCGGUCUGGAUAAGCGCUGAAAGCAUCUAAGCGCGAAGCCAUCCCCAAGAUAAGUCUUCCCUUGAGGGGCGUAGGAGACUACUACGUUGAUAGGCUGCAGGUGUAAAGACAGCAAUGUCAAAGCCGAGCAGUACUAAUUACCCGAUAGGCUUUCUUUU